AAGGCAGGCGACUAUUCCGGUUGGCUGUCCGAGGAGGGAGGGCGCGUUUCGAGCGAGCUGAGUAGCUUUUCAGUGCUGAACUUCCCCGUGACGAGGAGGCACGUAUCAACGAGACACGCGCACCGCACGUCAUCGCAAGGUUGUGCGAAGGUCAUCUGCUGCUGGUUGGCGUUUUAUUGGACUGAUUGAAGAUCAGCGGCGGGGCGGCGACGACCGGUGGACAUGCUCCAAUCGGGCACCCCUGUCAACAAGCGACCCCGCGUCGACGCGCGCGGUCCCAUCAGCAACGGUCCGAUGCCGCGGCCGCUGGUGGCCCUGCUCGACGGCAGGGACUGCUCGGUGGAGAUGCCCAUCCUCAAGGAUGUGGCCACCGUAGCGUUCUGCGACGCACAGAGCACCUCCGAGAUCCACGAAAAGGUUCUGAAUGAGGCCGUCGGCGCCCUGAUGUGGCACGGCAUUAGUCUCACCAAGGACGACCUGGAAAAGUUUCGCGCGCUCAAGAUCAUCGUCCGCGUCGGCAGCGGCGUCGACAACAUCGACACCAAGGCGGCGGCCGAGCUCGGCAUUCACGUGUGUAACGUGCCCGGCUACUCAGUGGAGGAGGUGGCCGACUCGACCAUGUGUAUGAUCCUGAACCUCUACCGGCGCACCUACUGGCUGGCGCGCAUGGUGGCAGAAGACAAAAAGUUCAUGGGACCAGACGCGAUCCGAGACGCGGCGAACGGCUCAGCGCGGAUCCGGGGCGACACGCUGGGUAUCGUUGGCCUCGGCAAGAUCGGUCAGGCGGUGGCGCUGCGGGCCAAGGCGUUCGGGUUCGCCGUCUACUUCUACGACCCGUACAUCCAGGACGGCAUCGACCGGGCGCUGGGCAUCACGCGCGUCUUCACACUCCAGGAGCUUCUGUACCAGUCAGACUGUGUCACCCUUCACUGCUCACUCAACGAGCACAACCACAGGCUCAUCAACGACUUCACCAUCAAGCAGAUGAGGCCAGGCGCGUUCCUGGUGAACACAGCGCGCGGCGGCCUGGUGGACGAAGAGGCCCUGGCUGCGGCGCUCAAAGAGGGACGGAUCCGAGCCGCCGCGCUGGACGUGCACACCAACGAGCCCAACAACAUCUUCCUUGGUCCGCUGAAGGAGGUAAAGAACACCAUUAUCGCCACGCCGCACGCCUCGUACUACUCAGAGGCGUCGUUCAGCGAACUGCGCGAGAUGGCGGCCACAGAGAUCCGGCGCUACAUCGUCGGACACAACCUGCGCAACUGUGUCAACAAGGAGUACCUGAAGAUGGCCUCGUACGGCGACGGCCUGAACGGCGCCGGCGCGCCCGGCCUGCCGGCGCCCGGCGCUCCCAGCAGCUACUACCCAGCCCAGAUGCAGCGGGGGAUGGGUGUGGCGGCGCACUCGACCUCCGCGCACGACGCCGCGUCGCUGUCCGUACCGUCCUCCCUUCCCCACCACCUCCCCACCGCGCAAGUUCCAGAGCGGCUCUGAGGGGGGUCGCCGCGGCCGCCCGAGCAACGCUGCAGCGAGCCACAGUACCUGAGUCAAGGCAGCCGACCAGCACACAAGAGAGCCAUAGCUUAAUAAAGCCAGAGUCGUCGGACAUCCACUGAGCGCGCCCGCAGUGCCACCUGCCGGCGCUCGGACGAACUACACACCUCCGCCGUCGCCCGAUGUGAUAGGCGACGUGGUGGGCGCGCCGGGAUCCGUCGGAACCACCGGAAACCACGGGGAACCAUUGGGAACCAGCGGCGCCGCGGCGGCCGCGACGAAUCGCCCCAGCGGCUGGCGCUGACUGGAGCGGGGCGCCGGUGGACUGACAGUGCUGGACAUCUCUCCAUCGCACCGACCGGCGUGCCGGGGCCGGGCCGAGUGUACGCGUGCGUGUGUGUGUCUGUGUGCGUGUCUGUGUGCGUGAGAGGGCGGCGGGGGCGCGGCCGCCGCGAGUUGCCGAGCUCGGGAAGCUCCUGUACAAACCGCGCGUAUUUUUGCUGUGUCUGAUGCGUGAGCGAGGAGCGGGCCGCCGCGCGAGCGACUAGGCUCGGCGGCCGCCAGAGAGACGAGACGAGUCGCCACCGGGACGCCCUCAGAGAGCCCAGACGAACCGACGACGGCGGCGGCGGCGGCGGCGGGGGCGGCAGCCGCCGACGAUUACCGGGCGCCCCCGACCCGCCGCCGCCGCCCCAGCCCUGUGUAUAUUACCGUUCAUGGUCAUUUGGUCAUCAUGUAGAUCUUCCAUAAAUAAAGGAGACUUAACGUUGAUCUGUCUGUUGCGGGCGGCGCAGCCGGCCGGCCGGUUGGACGGCUGGGAAUGGUGUCGCCGCCGGUUUGGACUGUGUGCCGUGCCGGCAACGGUCGACAUUGUGUAAUCUCGCGUCAAUGGCCUGGAUCGAGGAAUAAAGCGCGCAGUGGUCGGAUGUU